rnacentral:rRNA from 1 species
UGGGGAAUCUUGGGCAAUGGGCGAAAGCCUGACCCAGCGACGCCGCGUGAAGGAUGACGGUUUUCGGACUGUAAACUUCUGUGAGGACAGAAAAAGGGUGUGCGACCCAAUACGUCGUACAUCUGAUAGUACGUCCAGAGGAAGCCCCGGCUAACUCCGUGCCAGCAGCCGCGGUAAUACGGAGGGGGCGAGCGUUGUUCGGAAUUACUGGGCGUAAAGGGCGCGUAGGCGGCUUUUUAAGUCGGUGGUGAAAUCCCGUGGCUCAACUGCGGAACUGCCAUCGAUACUGGAAAGCUUGAAUCCGGAAGAGGUCGGCGGAAUUACUGGUGUAGCGGUGAAAUGCGUAGAUAUCAGUAGGAACACCGAUGGCGAAGGCAGCUGGCUGGACCGGUAUUGACGCUGAGGCGCGAAAGCGUGGGGAUCAAACAGGAUUAGAUACCCCGGUAGUCC